rnacentral:rRNA from 1 species
UACAGAGGGUGCAAGCGUUAAUCGGAAUUACUGGGCGUAAAGCGUGCGUAGACGGUUAUGUAAGUCAGGUGUGAAAGCCCCGGGCUCAACCUGGGAAUUGCAUUUGAGACUGCAUAGCUAGGGUGCGGAAGAGGGAAGCGGAAUUUCCGGUGUAGCGGUGAAAUGCGUAGAUAUCGGAAGGAACACCAGUGGCGAAAAGCGGCUUCCUGGUCCAGCACCGACGUCAGGCACGAAAGCGUGGGGAGCAAACAGG